rnacentral:rRNA from 1 species
GUCCAGACUCCUACGGGAGGCAGCCGUGCGGAAUAUUGGUCAAUGGUCGGGCUCCUGAACCAGCCCCUCCUCGUGAGGGCUGCAGGUACAGAGUCUCUUAAACCUCUUUUUUCCGGGAACAACGGCGGGGACGUGUCCCCUUAUGAGUGUACCUGAAGAAAAAUCAUCUUCUAACUCCUUGCCAGCAGCCGCUUGAAUACGGGGGUUGCAAGCGUUGUCCGGAAUCAUUGGGCGUAAAGAGUUCGUAGGCGGCACGUAAAGUCUGGUGUUAAAGGCAGAGGCGCAACUUCUGUACGGCACUGGAUACUUGCGAGCUAGAAUGCGGUAGAGGGAAAGGGAAUUCCUGGUGUAGCGGUGAAAUGCUUAGAGAGAAGGAGGAACAUCGGUGGCGUAAGCGCUUUACUGGGCCGUAAUUGACGCUGAGGAACGAAAGCCAGGGUAGCACAUGGGAUUAGAUACCCGAGUAC